CUACACCAUCAACAUGUCUAGGAUCAGGUGAUGUAAUCUAAACCAUCAACAUGUCUAGGAUCAGGUGAUGUAAUGAACGUCAGAUAAAUGAACUAUACACUUCUUAUUACUCUUCAUCAUCAGCAUCAUCAUGGCAAUAUACAAAGUCUGAGAAAACAUGGCCACAGAAAUACACAACAAUGUCCUCAAUCACAAUGUCACAUUUCUUUGAAGAUUAAAAUGUAACUAAGUCUUCUGGCAAAAAAAAA